rnacentral:rRNA from 1 species
CGCAGCCUGAUGCAGCCAUGCCGCGUGAGUGAUGAAGGCCUUCGGGUUGUAAAGCUCUUUCGCCAGGGAAGAUAAUGACGGGACCGGAAGAAGAAGCCCCGGCUAACUCCGUGCCAGCACCCGCGGUAAUGCUAUAUGCCAGCAGCCGCGAUAAUAA